CCUACGGGUGGCAGCAGUGAGGAAUAUUGGUCAAUGGGCGCGAGCCUGAACCAGCCAAGCCGCGUGAAGGAUGACUGCCCUACGGGUUGUAAACUUCUUUUGUAAAGGAAUACAGUUAGGCACGUGUUCCUCUUUGUAUGUACUUUAUGAAUAAGGAUCGGCUAACUCCGUGCCAGCAGCCGCGGUAAUACGGAGGAUCCGAGCGUUAUCCGGAUUUAUUGGGUUUAAAGGGAGCGUAGGUGGGUUGUUAAGUCAGUUGUGAAAGUUUGGGGCUCAACCGUAAAAUUGCCAUUGAUACUGGCAGUCUUGAGUACAGUUGAGGUAGGCGGAAUGCGUGGUGUAGCGGUGAAAUGCUUAGAUAUCACGAAGAACUCCGAUUGCGAAGGCAGCUUACUAAACUGCCACUGACAUUGAUGCUCGAAAGUGUGGGUAUCAAACAGGAUUAGAUACCCCAGUAGUC
rnacentral:rRNA from 1 species